GAUGAACGCUAGCGGGAGGCCUAACACAUGCAAGCCGAGCGGUAUUGUUUCUUCGGAAAUGAGAGGGCGGCGUACGGGUGCGGAACACGUGUGCAACCUGCCUUUAUCUGGGGGAUAGCCUUUCGAAAGGAAGAUUAAUACUCCAUAACAUAUUUAACGGCAUCGUUUGAUAUUGAAAGCUCCGGCGGAUAGAGAUGGGCACGCGCAAGAUUAGCUAGUUGGUGAGGUAACGGCUCACCAAGGCGAUGAUCUUUAGGGGGCCUGAGAGGGUGAUCCCCCACACUGGUACUGAGACACGGACCAGACUCCUACGGGAGGCAGCAGUGAGGAAUAUUGGUCAAUGGGUGCAAGCCUGAACCAGCCAUCCCGCGUGAAGGACGACUGCCCUAUGGGUUGUAAACUUCUUUUGUAUAGGGAUAAACCUACUCUCGUGAGGGUAGCUGAAGGUACUAUACGAAUAAGCACCGGCUAACUCCGUGCCAGCCGCCGCAGUAAAAC
rnacentral:rRNA from 1 species